rnacentral:rRNA from 1 species
AUUGAACGCUGGCGGCAUGCCUUACACAUGCAAGUCGAACGGUAACAGGUCUUCGGAUGCUGACGAGUGGCGAACGGGUGAGUAAUACAUCGGAACGUGCUUAGUAGUGGGGGAUAACUACUCGAAAGAGUGGCUAAUACCGCAUGAGAUCUACGGAUGAAAGCAGGGGAUCGCAAGACCUUGUGCUACUAGAGCGGCCGAUGGCAGAUUAGGUAGUUGGUGGGAUAAAAGCUUACCAAGCCGACGAUCUGUAGCUGGUCUGAGAGGACGAUCAGCCACACUGGGACUGAGACACGGCCCAGACUCCUACGGGAGGCAGCAGUGGGGAAUUUUGGACAAUGGGCGCAAGCCUGAUCCAGCAAUGCCGCGUGCAGGAUGAAGGCCUUCGGGUUGUAAACUGCUUUUGUACGGAACGAAAAGCCCUGGGUUAAUACCCUGGGGUCAUGACGGUGCCGUAAGAAUAAGCACCGGCUAACUACGUGCCAGCCGCCGCCGUAAAAC